rnacentral:rRNA from 1 species
CCUACGCGAUGGUCGUCAUCGUAGGGUUAGUCGGGUCCUAAGCCGAGUCCGAAAGGGGUAGGUGAUGGCAAAUUGGUUAAUAUUCCAAUACCGACUCAUGGAGCGUGAUGGGGGGACGCAUAGGGUUAAGCGAGCUAGCUGAUGGAAGCGCUAGUCUAAGGGCGUAGAUUGGAGGGAAGGCAAAUCCACCUCUGUAUUUGAAACCCAACAGGCUCUUUGAGUUCCUUUUAGGACAAAGGGAGAAUCGCUGAUACCGUCGUGCCAAGAAAAGCCUCUAAGCAUAUCCAUAGUCGUCCGUACCGCAAACCCGACACAGGUAGAUGAGAUGAGUAUUCUAAGGCGCGUGAAAGAACUCUGGUUAAGGAACUCUGCAAACUAGCACCGUAAGUUCGCGAUAAGGUGUGCCACAGCGAUGUGGUCUCAGCAAAGAGUCCCUCCCGACUGUUUACCAAAAACACAGCACUUUGCCAACUCGUAAGAGGAAGUAUAAGGUGUGACGCCUGCCCGGUGCUCGAAGGUUAAGAGGAUGCGUCAGUCGCAAGAUGAAGCGUUGAAUUGAAGCCCGAGUAAACGGCGGCCGUAACUAUAACGGUCCUAAGGUAGCGAAAUUCCUUGUCGGUUAAAUACCGACCUGCAUGAAUGGCGUAACGAGAUGGGAGCUGUCUCAACCAGAGAUUCAGUGAAAUUGUAGUGGAGGUGAAAAUUCCUCCUACCCGCGGCAAGACGGAAAGACCCCGUGGACCUUUACUACAACUUAGCACUGCUAAUGGGAAUAUCAUGCGCAGGAUAGGUGGGAGGCUUUGAAGUAAGGGCUUUGGCUCUUAUGGAGCCAUCCUUGAGAUACCACCCUUGAUGUUUCUGUUAGCUAACUGGCCUGUGUUAUCCACAGGCAGGACAAUGCUUGGUGGGUAGUUUGACUGGGGCGGUCGCCUCCUAAAAAGUAACGGAGGCUUGCAAAGGUUGGCUCAUUGCGGUUGGAAAUCGCAAGUUGAGUGUAAUGGCACAAGCCAGCCUGACUGUAAGACAUACAAGUCAAGCAGAGACGAAAGUCGGUCAUAGUGAUCCGGUGGUUCUGUGUGGAAGGGCCAUCGCUCAAAGGAUAAAAGGUACCCCGGGGAUAACAGGCUGAUCUCCCCCAAGAGCUCACAUCGACGGGGAGGUUUGGCACCUCGAUGUCGGCUCAUCGCAUCCUGGGGCUGGAGCAGGUCCCAAGGGUAUGGCUGUUCGCCAUUUAAAGCGGUACGCGAGCUGGGUUCAGAACGUCAUGAGACAGUUCGGUCCCUAUCUGCCGUGGGCGUAGGAAAGUUGAGGAGAGCUGUCCCUAGUACGAGAGGACCGGGAUGGACGUGUCACUGGUGCACCAGUUGUUCUGCCAAGAGCAUCGCUGGGUAGCUACACACGGAUGUGAUAACUGCUGAAAGCAUCUAAGCAGGAAGCCAACUCCAAGAUGAACUUUCCCUGAAGCUCGCACAAAGACUAUGUGCUUGAUAGGGUAGAUGUGUGAGCGCAGUAAUGCGUUUAGCUGACUACUACUAAUAGAGCGUUUGGCUUGUUUU